rnacentral:rRNA from 1 species
CGAAUUCCGGCAAUGACGAAGUCGACGAGCGAUGCGUGACGUAGAGUCUCGAAUGUAAAGGUCUGGGAUAGGGAGAGCUAUUUAGGAGGAUUGCUUAUAGGUGACGGUACCUAUUAGGAAAGCACGCUAACUACGGUGCAGCAGCCGCGGUAUACGUAGUGGCGAGCGUGUUCCGGAAUACUGGCGUAAAGGGUGCGUAGGCGGUCCAUUAAGUCUGAUUUGGAAUACCAUGGCUUAACCAUUGGGGGCGAUUGGAAACUGGUGGACUUGAGCAUAGGAGAGGAAAGGUGGAAUUCCAUGUGUAGCGGUGAAAUGCGUAGAGAUAUGGAGGAACACCAGUGGCGAAGGCGGCCUUCUGGCCUAUAGCUGACGCUGAGGCACGAAAGCGUGGGGAGCAAACAGGAUUAGAUACCCUGGUAGUCCACGCCGUAAACGAUGAGUACUAAGUGUCGGGGAGAAGUCCACGGUGCUGAAGUAAACACAUUAAGUACUCCGCCUGGGGAGUACGGUCGCAAGACUGAAACUCAAAGGAAUUGACGGGGACCCGCACAAGCGGUGGAGCAUGUGGUUUAAUUCGACGCAACGCGAAGAACCUUACCAGGUCUUGACAUCCCUCUGACAUUGGUAGAGAUACUGAGUUCCCUUCGGGGACAGAGGAGACAGGUGGUGCAUGGUUGUCGUCAGCUCGUGUCGUGAGAUGUUGGGUUAAGUCCCGCAACGAGCGCAACCCUUGUCGUUAGUUACCAGCACUAGAGGUGGGGACUCUAACGAGACUGCCAGUGAUAAACUGGAGGAAGGUGGGGAUGACGUCAAAUCAUCAUGCCCCUUAUGACCUGGGCUACACACGUGCUACAAUGGGUGGUACAAAGAGAAGCGAAGCGGUGACGUGGAGCAAAACUCAAAAAGCCACUCUCAGUUCGGAUUGUAGUCUGCAACUCGACUACAUGAAGUCGGAAUCGCUAGUAAUCGUGGAUCAGCAUGCCACGGUGAAUACGUUCCCGGGUCUUGUACACACCGCCCGUCACACCAUGAGAGUUUGUAACACCCGAAGCCGGUGGCCUAACUCGAAAGAGGGGGAGCCGUCGAAGGUGGGACAGAUGAUUGGGGUGAAGUCGUAACAAGGUAGCCA